rnacentral:hammerhead_ribozyme from 1 species
GUACUGCUGAGGAGUCCCACAAUAGGACGAGACGGCCGUUCAGUAC